GGUUUAGGUUACAAUUGCUCUAAUUUUGAAACUUUGUUCAUACAGAUACUUUUUAGUUACACCACAAGGUCCAAAUUCUGCAGGGGCGCAUGAGCACAGGUCCCACUGAAGUCAAUGGAAGCCUUGCGUGCAUCUUGCAUUGUUUUCCAUACUUAGAACUUGAGUUAGCUGGCUGAAGCUCAAUCCAGAAAAGAAAGAGGGUAUCCUGGUUGGUUGAAGACCUAUCUGGAAGAGAUGGCAGAUAUUAUAACUGACCCCUUCAACUAAGAGGCUGCUGCCAUUGCAGCCUUGAGGAGUUUCCCCUCCACACUUGUGGAAUGCCUGAACCAGAUAAGGAGAAGAAAGAAGAGGACUUGGGAAGACAUAGUCGGUGAGAUUCAGCAAGUCAGUGAUGCAUCAGAUCAUGACCAGAGGGCCCGGAGGAUGAAUACUGCAGACUGUAUGGAGGAGGAAAGAGUGGACAGGAGAAAUCCCUAGGAGAACCAGCAGGAAAAUGAGAGGGAGAUGCACCAAGAUAUAAUGGGCUUCUUUGGCUGAAAACACAGAUGCUGCAGAUUCUUGUGGAUUUACAGGUUCAACAAUCAUGGGCUAGCAUUCCUUUGCAGCCCAUGGAGAACUCCAGUAUAGCACCUCACUACACCCCGCCUCAACCUUCCAUGUGGGAUCAGGGGCUACAUUCCUACCCCUGCCACUACACUCAGGGGGACAUUAAGGACAACCACAGCUUUACAUAUACUGACCUGUGAGAGCCACAGCUAACGUAUGUGUAGCUAAAAUGGAUAUGAAUGGUCCUUCCCCUUCUUUAACCUCAGUUCCAUACAUUUAUUAAGGUUCUAAAGUAUUUGCUUUUAACUUGCACAGAAUUUAUUUUGAAGUAAUUACAUUACUCGAUGAAACUCUAUUGUUUGGGAAAUAAUUUAUGUUUAUUAGUUCCCAAUAUAUGUUGCAGAAUGCCUAGCAGUAGUGAACCCACCUACUUUCUUGCUACUGUACAAUGUGACAACUCAUAGGAUCAGUGACAAAACCAUGUAAUAAUCAUAAAUGUACACCAAACACCACAAAAUUAAUAGGUGCAUUAUCAGUGUCAUAUUCUUAGAUGUACUUCAAGCAUCACACAAUUCAUAACGGGCCCCCAAACAGCAGGGCCACGUACAGCACAGUACACCACAACACAUUACUAUAGCUCACUGGUAGUGUUCUUUCAAUGCCUCCCUGAGCCAUAUAGCUCUGUAUUGAGCUUGUAUAAUAGCCCUUGUGUGCCUAUUCAAACUCAGCAGACAGCCACUCCACCUUAACCCCAUGGCAACUUUCCUCUCUUUGCUUCAGACAUUAUAUAGGACACAACAGGCAGCUAUAACCAUUGGGAUAUUUUUCUCAAUCCAAGCCAACCUUGUGACUAAGUAACACCAGCACCCCUUUAAUCUACCAAAAGCGUGUUUAACAUUCUUCAUCUGCUACACCAGCAGUUGAAUAUUUCCUUGGUGCUGUUGAGGUGCUGGUAUACAGCUUCGUGAGCCAGAGGAAUAAGGAGUAGGCUGGGUCCCCCAGGAUCACUAUUGGCAUUUCAACAUCGCCAAUGGUAAUCUAUUGGUUAGCAAAGAAAGUCCAUGCUUAUAGCUUUCUGAACUGGCCUGUGUUCUUAAAGAUACAAGCGUCAUGCACUUUGCUUGACCAGCCAACUUUUAUGUUAAUGAAGCAUCCCCAGUGAUCCACCAGUGCUCAUGUAACCAUAGAAAAGUAGCCCUUUUGUUGAUGUACUUGCUGGCAAGGUGGUCUGGUGCCAAAAUAGGAAUAUGCUUCACGCAGUUUGGGAAUCCCAUUCCUGCAAAUCCAUCCAAUACAAUCCACACAUUGCCAAGAAUCACCAUCCUACAUAGCAAGAGAUAGACUCAUAGACUCUAGGACUGGAAGGGACCGAGAGGUCAUCGAGUCCAGUCCCCUGCCCUCAUGGCAGGACCAAAUACUGUCUAGACCAUCCCUAAUAGACAUUUAUCUAACCUACUCUUAAAUAUCUCCAGAGAUGGAGAUUCCACAACUUCCCUAGGCAAUCUAUUCCAGUGUUUAACGACCCUGACAGAUAGGAACUUUUUCUUAAUGUCCAAUCUAAAUCUCCCUUGCUGAUUAAUGGCUCUGCAAACUUGCAUCACAACAGUCCCCCCCAGUGGAUUUUCCAAUUCC